AUGGAUAACACAAGCAUGGGCAUGGGCAUGGAGAACAAGAGCGUGGCCAUCAUCGGCGCUGGCGUGAGUGGGCUGGCGGCGUGCAAGCACCUGCUGGAGCGCGGGUGCCGGCCGGUGGUAUUCGAGGCGGACACCGUCGUUGGCGGCGUGUGGGCGCACACCCCGGACUGCACCAGGCUCCAGACCGAGCGGACCAUGUACCAGUACACGGACUUCCCGUGGCCGGAUUCCGUCACGGAGGAGUUCCCGAACAACCGCCAGGUCGCCGCCUACCUCAAUGCCUACGCGCGCCGCUUCGGGGUGCUCGAAUGCAUCCGAUUCGGGCACCGCGUUGCCGGGAUGGAGUACGUCGGUGUCGCCGAGGAGGAGGUGGCGGCGUGGGACGAGUGGGCUGGCUGCGCUGACGCAUUUGGCUCUGGCAACGGCAAGUGGCGCCUCACGGUGGCCGACGCCCAGGGUCAGGUGCAGGUACACACGGCAGACUUUGUGAUUCUUUGUAUUGGAAGGUUCAGCAAUGUUCCCAACAUACCUAAAUUGCCUCCUGGAAAAGGCCCGGAAUCAUUUGAUGGAAAAGUGAUCCACUCCAUGGACUAUUCCAAAAUGGGUAGUCAGAAAGCUAAGGAGAUGGUCAAGGGCAAGCAUGUGACUGUUAUUGGCUAUGGACAUUCGGCCCUUGACAUCGCUAAUGAAUGUGCAAGCUUGAACGGUACUGAGAAACCAUGCACAAUGGUUGUCCGAACCAAGCAAUGGGUCUUACCGGACUUCUAUGCUUGGGGUAUCGACAUAUCAAAAUUAUAUCUAACUCGGUUCGGUGAACUCCUUAUUCAUAAGCCUGGCGAAGGCCUCUUCCUUAGCUUGUUAGCUACCAUCUUGACUCCAUUGAAGUUGAUGUUUUCAAAGUUCGCCGAGAGCUACUACUCCAUUACAAUGAAGAAGCAUGACAUGGUUCCCGACCAUAGUUUUUUUGAGGGGAUGGUGGGAUGCUGGGUUGAACUUGCACCCAAGGAUCAUUACAAGAAUCUAGAGGAAGGCAGCAUCUUGGUUGAGAAGUCAAAGACCUUCAGCUUUUGCAAAGAAGGUGUGCUGGUUGAAGGUGAAUCUACGUUGGUAAAGAGUGACAUAGUUAUCUUUGGAACAGGAUUCAAUGGCGACCAAAAUAUCAAGAGCAUGUUCACAUCGAAAUACUUCCAGAGUAUUUUGAGUGGCUCAACAUCCAUGACUCUAUCACUGUACAGGGAUUGUGUACAUCCCAACAUUCCACAACUCGCAGUCAUCGGAUAUUCAGAGAGCUAUGCAAAUCUCCACACCUCAGAACUACGGGCCAAGUGGCUAGCACAUUUCAUGGAUGGUGGAUUUAGGUUACCGAGUAUUAAAGCAAUGCAUAGGGAUGUCCUAGAAUGGGAGAAGUUCAUGAAGCGGUACUCUCAUGGCGGAUUCCAUGCAUUCUGCAUUGGACUUUUGAAUAACUGGUACAAAGAUAACCUAUGUCGGGACAUGGGAUGCAACCCAAGAAGGAAGAAUGGAAUUUUUGCUGAGUUAUUUGAGGUCUAUGGUCCAAGUGAUUAUAUUGAUCUUCACCCUAAGUAA
rnacentral:rRNA from 1 species